GAUUAACGCUAGCGGCAGGCAUAAUACAUGCAAGUUGAACGGCAGCACAGGUAGCAAUACUGGGUGGCGAGUGGCGCACGGGUGCGUAACACGUAUGCAACCUACCCUAUACAGGCGAAUAACCUUUAGAAAUGAGGGCUAAUACGCCGUAGUAUUACAGAUGGGCAUCUAUUUGUAAUUAAAGAUUUAUCGGUAUAGGAUGGGCAUGCGUCCCAUUAGUUAGUUGGUAAGGUAACGGCUUACCAAGACGAUGAUGGGUAGGGGAUCUGAGAGGACUUACCCCCACACUGGUACUGAGACACGGACCAGACUCCUACGGGAGGCAGCAGUAAGGAAUAUUGGGCAAUGGCCGCGAGGCUGACCCAGCCAUGCCGCGUGCAGGAAGACGGCCUUAUGGGUUGUAAACUACUUUUAUACGGGAAUAAUAGAGUGUACGCGUACAUUUAUGCAAGUAUCGUAUGAAUAAGCAUCGGCUAACUCCGUG
rnacentral:rRNA from 1 species